rnacentral:misc_RNA from 1 species
CGCACAUUGCGCCCCUUGGUAUUCCGAGGGGCAUGCCUGUUCGAGCGUCAUAACACCCCCCUCCAGCUGCCUUUGUGUGGCUGCGGUGUUGGGGCUCGUCGCGACGCGGCGGCCCUUAAAGACAGUGGCGGUCCCGACGUAGGCUCUACGCGUAGUAACUUGCUUCUCGCGACAGAGUGACGACGGCGGCUUGCCAAAACAACCCACUUUGCUCCAGUCACAUGGAUCACAGGUUGACCUCGAAUCAGGUAGGAAUACCCGCUGAACUUAA